CUAGCCUGGGCGAGCAAUGGAGUUUCUCCAGUCCCCUUGGGGAGUUCUCUGGGAUCUCUCCCCCGGGAGCUGCUCUGUGUGUCGGGUGGGGGAAGAGAGCGGAGAGCUCCAGCUGUGGCUGUCGGAACCAUCCCAGGAGGAAUCGGAUCUCUGCGGAGGUUACUGGGAUAAGAUGAAGGCCUACCUCUGAGGGUGAGGAACCACAGAGAGACAAUGAUUCCAGGAGGUCAAAGAAUGAAAAAAAAAUGGGCAGGAGUGAGGCCCCAGAGACAAAACAAGGGAUCCAGAAGAGGAGACUGAGCAGAGAACCCUGGACAGCAUCCACUGCUUUUCAAAGGAGUCCAAGGAGCCAGUGUACACUUCCCAGAGAAACUCUGUUCAGAGACAUGAGAGAACAGAAAGAGGCCCCAUGGUCACAGCACACCUCCCAGUCAAGUGUCAUCCUCCCGGUCUGGUGGAUGGCCAUCUUGGCCAGCCUCAGGAAGAGGUUGAUGAGAAGGUCUUGAGACUUUGUGGGGCCGUGGAUGGGGUGUGCAAAUACAAGCAGGUAUGGGGAAAAGUGCAGCAGAAACUCAGCAGGAGGUUCUGGAGGAGCGGGGAAAAGGGAUUGCAACCUAGGGCACUUUGCACAGAUGUGCGCCUGGGUCUCCCUGUUGCCUCACAAUGAGCAAGUGUUGGGAAAGUCCUUGAACUAUGCUACAUGCUUGUGCUCACAGGUCCAUGGAGGUUCCACCAGCAUAGAGCCCCAGCGAGCUGUGGGAUUAGGGUGGAGUACAGGCUGGCUUACUGGGUCUCCUCACCCUCUACAGGUGACAGUAGGUUCCCUCCAGGUGGUGUCGGGAUGGGACGCAAGGGGGAGGAAGUGAACAGUGUGGAGCACAAGCAUGUUUGGGGGGUGCAGUUCAGAGAUGGACUGGCAGGAUGGCAUUCAGCCUGCUCGGUGGUGCGUUGGGGUCAGCCAGGGUGAGAGACAACCUCCCCCCUGUGGAAUGGACCAAACUAAAGUUUGAACCUUAAAACCCUGGAGCUUCAGAAAAGUUUGGAUCUGGAUGCAAACUCAGGCUUUGAGGUUUUCACAUAGCCUGUGUGAUGGGAAAUAGUUGGAAGAAAUGGUUUAGGGCAGUACAAGCGGAUAGAAGUAGCCACAGUGGGUUGAAAUGAGGAAUUGGAAGAAUGUCCUAACUGAGAAUUCUAUCCUGGCAUGGUGUAGUCUCUGAAAGGAAAUGGUGGAAGCCUUUCCUCUGCACCCCACAUUCAAGGGCCAGACAGGGAAAGUGCUUUGUGAAUGCCUCCUCUCCCAUUUGUGAUUGCACCAUGUCCCUGUGGCUAAUACAGCACUCACUCCGACGGAAAAGUAGUUAGUUAUUUUUAAUCAGACCCUGAGGGCAGUUCCUGCUUCCAGCGGCUGCUGGUGGAGACAUCUAGGCUGGCUCAUUUUCCUUGUUUCCAGCUGCUUUUAAAGGCAUCCAGGGAGGCUCCUCUUUGUCUGGACAUCUUUAGAAGCCACUGGAAACAGGAGAUGGAGCCAGCACUAUAUGUGACCACCUGCCACAGAUCUCCAGCAAAGUUCUCCAUGGAGCACCAGAGUUCCACAAACUGCUGUAGGUAACAAUCCUGCAUCAACAUGACAGGUUGUACCAGGGCUGCCAGAAGGUGAGAGCCUCAAGUCUCUGUCACAGGUGGGUACAAUCUGCCCAGGAUGGGGCUUCAUACUGAGUUUGGGUUUUUUGCGUGGGCUCAUUUGUUGUUACUGUCCAUUUCUGAUCUGGUGGUAUGCUGCUAGAUAGUAUGAUGCCAUUUCUGCCAUGUCUUUCCUUUUACCCAGGGAUGGACACAGUUUUUUCCUCUUUACUUUCAGAGCUUGGAGUGGCAUUGCUUUUUUUGGGUGGACACUGAUAUAUUUCUCUAGAAAGCUGAAAUCCUUAAUGUUGGUAUUGUUAUGGCAGGUGUCACUGGCACUGUUACACAUAGUCUUCCAAGUUCUUUUUUCAUCAAGUGUGAGCGAGUUUUUAGUCUGGGAAAAAAUGUUUAACGUGUUGUAAUUUUUGGUUAGAAAAGGUUCUGGUUAAAGGUCACUGUGAACAGCAGGAGAAUUUUCUCUGUGUUUCUGAUUAGAGUCAGUUCUUGAGGCAGAGUUGCUCUCUGCGUACCAGUCAUUAGUGCUGGGCUGAAAUUCCAGAAAGAAGAGAUUGCCCUUCAUCUGGUUCGGUAAGUUCUGCAAGUCUGUUUAGAGUUUCUAUCAUAUCAGAUACUCUCUAUGCUUUAUUUACACUCAUUAUAUUAAUUCAGUACAAGUAAAGUUGUACCGAAUGAAACUUUCAUGCACACAGACAUUUCCUCAGCUCCAUAUAAAGGUACAGAGCAGUUUCAAUGCUUUGUGAUAUAAGGUCCUAUAAACAGUGCACUCUAAUUACAUCUCAGCUGCACAAAGAAAUUAAUAUUGGGCUUCUAGCUGUUCUUGUUUCUGGCAGGUGAUUUCCGAGGUGUCACCAUAAGACAGAUUCCAAGGCCUGCUGAGUACAUUAUAUGAAAUCAGUUUCUGGCCACACAUUCCCAAUAAGUGGCUCUCCCAUUUAAAAUUAUAUUGACAAAACCAUGCCAAAUUCUGCUGUCGGCUACCCCAGUGUAAACCCGCAGAGAUCCCAGGGAAGUCCAUAUAGACUGGCAUAACAGAGCAGUUAACUUGAGAGCAUUAACAUGAGCAGUGUGUGCUAAAUGAGAGAGAGUGUACUACAUUGUCCUGGUGCCAAAUUAUCUGCCACCAGGAAAUAACCAUUCCAACAUGCUCUUGAAUGUGGGGGUGCACAGGCAUGGUAGAUCUGCAAGAUUCACUGCUGGAGACAGUUCGGCCAACGUCACCUGCAGAUUUGAAAUCUUUCAUACAUCAAGUGCAGAGCCCAUUCCUUGGCUCCAGACCCCCCACCUAACAUUGGGAAGGUGUCAAACACCCUGAAUACUGGUGGGGAAUGGAUGGAUCAACCAUAUUAGGCACUUCUUCAGAGCCUGUGGCAGGAACCUGUAAGCUGAGCGUUUGCAUGUCCAACCCCAUGGGCAUGGUGGCCCAAAAGCAACCUGACACUGGAGUAGGGCUUGGAAGUAAUAAAACGGGCAUUUUCUUUGUUUAAACAGGAAGUAGAAGGCAGGAGUCUGACGGGUUCGGGGUGUGAGCGUGGGAACAUCACUGCGGCUGGGUCCACAUGGGGAGACUGUCACCCCUAAGAAAUUCUCAAACUGCCUCUAAAACUAUGUUAGACUGACACUGUACUCCUUAGAUGGGAUAGCUGGUGCUUGUCUCUGCACCUGAGAGCUCAUAUCAGUGUAUUCACACUCAUCCCUUGAACGGCCAUAUUGCUACAAGAGACGAGCUAAUGUCAAAAGAUCACAAGUUCAGGUUCAGUUCAGCUCGACAUCCAUGAGAUCAGAUACUGAUCUGGAAGAUUUUGAACAGGAGAUGGGUCUGACCUAGCAACCAAAUUCAGAUCUGGAUCCCAACUUUCCUGCUGUAUGAGGGGCAUUGUGCUAGGAUUCAUUGUUGUAGCUUCCAGUCCAUCUCUAAUCUGAACCUUUUGGGUUAGCAAGUAUGGGCUGGAAAUGUCACAAGAGCAGGGCUCUCAUGUGAGUUUGCUGGUCCUAACUACUUCUGUUUGGUCCAGAAAUACCACAAGAAGACCUUCUUUCACAGUGUUUCUGCCCUACCUUUUCCAAUUCAGCUGGAACCCAGCCAGGCAAGCUGGGUACAAAUGGAGAAAUAGGAAAGUGAAUUCUUUUGGUUCUCAGGUUUUUGUGUGAAGAUUAAAAUGAGAAGGAGGUUUCUCAUUUUAAGCAAAUCUAUUUAGCCAUCUCUGCUAACUCAUAUAUCCCUCUAUGUGUUGGCACCUAUAAAUCAUGUGCCAUUCCUCCUAGCCACAGAACUAUGAUACAUUUAGAAUCCUCCUCAUCCAAAUAUGUUUCUUGAAACAAGACAGUACCUGCCCUUUUUUUUAAUUUAAAGAGAGCUCCGAAUAGAAUCUCUGGCUCUCUUAAAACCAUGACCCUUCAGGGAAGUUUGGAGGAAAUCUAAAAUCAGACUUUGUAGUUGGUACAACUUCUAUAAUAUAAUGGACUGAUGACUUUAUUUCCCUUGGUGGAACUGUGAAGGCACUGGACGUCCCAUGGAAGAAACAUUAAGCUCUUCCCGGUAGCUCUCAGAAACAAUCCAGUUUUCUCUCCGACGACUUUGUCCUGCUCAGAGUUGGAAGACAUUCAGUCCCAUGUAUCUGUUUUCCACUGCCUUCCUGACGGUCUCGUUCUGCUCUCUGUAGCCUUCGGUUUUAAGACUAAAUCCUACUGCUUUGUGGUUUGUUUUGCAUUUUUUAAAACAUUCCAUACAGGAUGCUAAGUGUCCACGCAGUGCAUGGCCCUAUACGUGUCACCAGAAAAGCAGGGAAGCCUUCUCUGCUUCAGGAAUGUCCCUGGCAGAGGUGCCCACCAUCCACUUGGCUUUGUUGCCAGCCAGGAAGGGCGCUUCUGAACUCUGGCAGCUAUUAACGAGAAAACAGAUGCUUCAGGGUAGCAGGAACCUGCUGUUUCUAAGUAAUGCUUUUCUUCAAACAACUGUGGUGCUGUGAUGCGGUUGCCCUUGUAUGUUAAGUAGGGUUCAGUUGGGUCAGUAGUUGGAUGCGAGACCACCUAUGAGGUUCAGGAAGUGUUACUGGUGAAUCAGUUGGUGGUACUCCUCCCUCUGAAUCACUAAUGAACAAAUGGCCCGGACGGGUUUUAGUGUGCUGCUGAAAAUGCUGCCUUUUGGAUGACAUGUAAAAUCCUGACCACUUGUGAUUAUAAAAGCUCACACAUAAAAGCUUUCUUUAAGAGCAGGUCUUAACCUGGGGGUUGUUGCCAAAUUCCUACUGUGAUCAUUACAUCCUGCUUAUCUCCCCUGCAACUUCAAUUGGGUAAGUGUCCUUCUUUAACAGUGAAUAGCAACAUUACACAGCACAUUAGGAAGUAAACAGCUGCUGCGCUCCACCCCAGAACUGACUGCACUUCAGUGCAUGAUGGAAAGAUCCCUACAUCCCUUAUCUACCUCAGAGGCCGGUUUGUUGUGAGAAUUAUUUAGUCAGUGCUAGUAAAGCGCUUUGAGGUCUUCAGAGGAAGGGCUGAGGACAAUUAUUAUUUGUUAAUUAAAAAGAAAUUAUCCCAGUUUUGAGGCAUUCUCCUCCAUUUCAAAGGUGUGCAGUGCAUACUGUAGGAACCAUUACUGUGUAGACUGAUCAGAUAUGUCUAGGACUUGGAAUAAGAACAACGUCCUGACCUUUUGGGUUUAUGAAUGCCUGGCUGUGAGGAGUUGCAGAGUUUGUGGCCACAGUUCAUUCUCCUUUGGUUGAAAGCAUGCACACAUAAUGGGUCGGUUCAGACUGUGGCUUCAGGGUGCUCUUGGAUCCAGGGCCGGCUCCAGGGUAUUGGCCGCCCCAAGCAGCCAAAAAAAAAAAA